rnacentral:rRNA from 2 species
GACGAACGCUGGCGGCGUGCCUAAUACAUGCAAGUCGAACGCUUCUUUCCUCCCGAGUGCUUGCACUCAAUUGGAAAGAGGAGUGGCGGACGGGUGAGUAACACGUGGGUAACCUACCCAUCAGAGGGGGAUAACACUUGGAAACAGGUGCUAAUACCGCAUAACAGUUUAUGCCGCAUGGCAUAAGAGUGAAAGGCGCUUUCGGGUGUCGCUGAUGGAUGGACCCGCGGUGCAUUAGCUAGUUGGUGAGGUAACGGCUCACCAAGGCCACGAUGCAUAGCCGACCUGAGAGGGUGAUCGGCCACACUGGGACUGAGACACGGCCCAGACUCCUACGGGAGGCAGCAGUAGGGAAUCUUCGGCAAUGGACGAAAGUCUGACCGAGCAACGCCGCGUGAGUGAAGAAGGUUUUCGGAUCGUAAAACUCUGUUGUUAGAGAAGAACAAGGACGUUAGUAACUGAACGUCCCCUGACGGUAUCUAACCAGAAAGCCACGGCUAACUACGUGCCAGCAGCCGCGGUAAUACGUAGGUGGCAAGCGUUGUCCGGAUUUAUUGGGCGUAAAGCGAGCGCAGGCGGUUUCUUAAGUCUGAUGUGAAAGCCCCCGGCUCAACCGGGGAGGGUCAUUGGAAACUGGGAGACUUGAGUGCAGAAGAGGAGAGUGGAAUUCCAUGUGUAGCGGUGAAAUGCGUAGAUAUAUGGAGGAACACCAGUGGCGAAGGCGGCUCUCUGGUCUGUAACUGACGCUGAGGCUCGAAAGCGUGGGGAGCAAACAGGAU